UUCGGAAGACAGGAAGUGGUGGUAGAAGACAAGAAGUGAAGUCAUACAGGAAGUAAAGUCAGAAGACAGGAAGUGAAGUAAGAAGACAGGAAGUGGUUGUAGAAGACAGGAAGUGAGGUCAUACAGGAAGUAAAAUCAGAAGACAGGAAGUGACGUCAAACCAGGAUUUGCAGUCGGAGGCAGGCAAGAAGUGAAAUCAGAAGACGGGAAGUGGCUGAGGGGAACGUCUUUUCUCUCUCCUGCUCAGCCCGAAGUGAACAGGUAGCAUCAGAGAUGAGAUCCUGGAUUGAAUGACUACUAUGGAAAGUGAUUGACCAAGAUUGUCUCCAUUCCUCCCUGGCUUCUCCACAGGGCCGCUCACCAUGGCAGCCGGCUCCAUCACCACCAGCCAGCGAGAGGGCAAGACAAGAGGGCUGACGAGGGACGCUACCAUCACAGAGGUCAGUUUUGUAACCUAACCACAAGACUAACCUACUGUCACUUCUGCCCUAUCCUACUGCUAGAAGCCAGUCGCUACAUCUCCCCCACACUCAAAGGGAGGUGGUCGCACCGUGGGGUCCACUGGAAGUUGCCUACCAGACUCAGGUCAUCCCAAACACACCCUCUAGCCAUUUGGUGUGGCAUCGGAAAGAAAACUAAGGCCAGGUACGGUGGCUCAUGCCUGUAAUCCCAACAAUUUGGGAGGCCAUGGCGGAAGGGUCACUUGAGCCCAGGAGUUUGAGACCAGCCUGGGCAACAUAGCAAAUGUUAUGUUGCCACCUCUACAAAUAAUUAGCCAAGUGUGGUGGCAUGCACCUGUAGUCCCAGAUACUCAGGAGGCUGAGGCAGGAGAAUCACAGGUCGAGGUUGUAGUGAGCUGUGACGGCACUGCACUCCAGCCUUGGCAACACAGUAAGACCUCGUCUCUAAAAAAGCAAAAAGGGCUGGGUGCACUGGCUCACACCUAUAAUCCCAGCACUUUGGGAGGCCAAGACGGGUGGAUCACCUGAGGUCAGGAGUUCAAGAUAAGCCUGGCCAACAUGGUGAUACCGUCUUUAAUUAGCCAGGUGUGGUGGUGGGCGCCUGUAAUCCCAGCUACUCGGGAGGCUGAGGCAUGAGAAUCGCUUGAACAUGGGAGACACAGGUUGCAGUGAGCUGAGAUCAUGCCAUUGCACUCCAGCCUGGGCAACAGAGCGAGACUAGGUGGCUGUUCUGUGUACUGUGGGAUAUUGAGUAGCAUCCCUGGCCUCCCCAGUAUCUCAAAUAUGAAAACAUGUUUUCUAUCUCGAUUACUGAGCUUUUCGGUGCCUCCUUCGGUUCUGCACCUAAGCUAAGAGCCCCUUCAUCUCACCCUGAUCUCUAUCCAGUUUCUAACACAGCAGUCUUGUAAGAUGCCCGGACUUAAACGGUUAUUUCCUGUGAAACAGGUGAAAGGGGCUUUCAUCUCUAAAAAGUCGGAACUUUUUUUUUUUUUUGAGACGG